rnacentral:rRNA from 1 species
UACGAAGGGGGCUAGCGUUGUUCGGAAUUACUGGGCGUAAAGCGUGCGCAGGCGGCUUCUCAAGUCGGAUGUGAAAGCCCUCGGCUCAACCGGGGAAGUGCACUCGAAACUGCAAGGCUAGAGUCUCGGAGAGGAUCGUGGAAUUCUCGGUGUAGAGGUGAAAUUCGUAGAUAUCGAGAGGAACACCGGUGGCGAAGGCGGCGAUCUGGACGAUGACUGACGCUGAGACGCGAAAGCGUGGGGAGCAAACAGG